rnacentral:rRNA from 1 species
GUCCUACGGGAGGCAGCAGUAGGGAAUCUUCCACAAUGGACGAAAGUCUGAUGGGGCAACGCCGCGUGAGUGAAGAAGGGUUUCGGCUCGUAAAGCUCUGUUGGUAGUGGAGAAAGAUAGAGGGAGUAACUGGCCUUUAUUUGACGGUAAUUACUUAGAAAGUCACGGCUAACUACGUGCCAGCAGCCGCGGUAAUACGUAGGGGGCAAGCGGUGUCCGGAUUUAUUGGGCGUAAAGCGAGUGCAGGCGGGU